UUUAGUUCAUCACUUCAUCCCUAAUUUCUCAAGAAACACCCACAGUCCACAUGAGAGAAUUCUGAAGUUUUCUCCUCCACAACGCCAAUCCAAGAUUCAUCAGCCCACAACAACGGUAACUUCAUAACGUGUUCAUGGCCACGCGUUUUAUAUUCCAUGCGUGAACAAAGGUGGUGGUGGCGGUGUUUCACUGUCCAAAACGCGUGAAUGUUGGUUCAUCAAGCAGCGCCCCAGGUGGCCUUACAAUUGAUCCAUGAUCGCUCUUGACGUACUAUGAGACUUCUGACAAGUACUAGGCGUAAUUGGCUGUGAUUUCUCCUUAGCAUCAUUAGAAGUCU
rnacentral:lncRNA from 1 species